rnacentral:tRNA from 1 species
GUAAUAUUAGUAUAAUUCUAUUAUUUUUAAUUUUCUAUUAAAGGAUUUAUAUUAUU